rnacentral:rRNA from 1 species
CUACGGGGUGCAGCAGUGGGGAAUAUUGGACAAUGGGGGAAACCCUGAUCCAGCAAUGCCGCGUGUGUGAAGAAGGCCUGCAGGUUGUAAAGCACUUUCGGUUGGGAGGACUGCUUCUAGCACUAAUAUUGUUGGAAGUUGACGUUACCUUCAGAAGAAGCUCCGGCUAACUCCGUGACAGCAGCCGCGGUAAUACGGGAGGUGCAAGCGUUAAUCGGAAUUACUGGGCGUAAAGCGCGCGUAGGCGGCUAGAUCAGUCGGGUGUGAAAGCCCCGGGCUUAACCUGGGAACUGCAUCCGAUACUGUCUAGCUUGAGUACAGGAGAGGAGAGUGGAAUUCCACAUGUAGCGGUGAAAUGCGUAGAUAUGUGGAGGAACACCAAUGGCGAAGGCAGCUCUCUGGCCUGAUACUGACGCUGAGGUGCGAAAGCGUGGGGAGCAAACAGGAUUAGAUACCCCUGUAGUC